GUGCCGCGGGUCAGCGGCUGACGCCAGCCACCUUCCCGACCCGUCUUGAAACACGGACCAAGGAGUCUAACAUGUGCGCGAGCAGCGGGGCAGUACGAAACCCGUAAGGCGAAAUGAAGGUGAACGCCGGCGCGGUCCGGCGGAGGUUGGAUCCCGUCCCGUCGGGGCGGGCGCACUACCGGCCGAUCUUCUCCGCCCUGUCGGCGAGGUCGAGCGAGAGCGUGCAAGUCGGGACCCGAAAGAUGGUGAACUAUGCCUGAGGAGGUUGAAGCCAGAGGAAACUCUGGUGGAGGACCGUAGCGAUUCUGACGUGCAAAUCGAUCGUCAAAUUUGGGUAUAGGGGCGAAAGACUAAUCGAACCGUCUAGUAGCUGGUUCCCUUCGAAGUUUCCCUCAGGAUAGCUGGCGCUCUGUCGCAGUUUUAUCUGGUAAAGCGAAUGAUUAGAGGUCUUGGGGGCGAAACGCCCUCAACCUAUUCUCAAACUUUAAAUUGGUAAGAAGCCCGACUCGCUCGUUUGGAGCCGGGCAUGGAAUGCGAGUGCCAAGUGGGCCACUCUUGGUAAGCAGGACUGGCGAUGCGGGAUGAACCGAACGCCGGGUUAAGGCGCCCGACGCGACGCUCAUCAGAGCCCACAAAAGGUGUUGGUUGAUAUAGACAGCAGGACGGUGGCCAUGGAAGUCGGAA
rnacentral:ncRNA from 1 species